UGGGGGUAGGGCACCAGUGGGCA
rnacentral:miRNA from 1 species